UAUUUGUUUUUGUUGUUCGCGUACUAUGGAAUACUAUAACAUCCUAAGCUAACACCUUCCCCAGAUCCAGAGAACUACAGACCAGUCAACCUGACCUCUAUAUCUGGAAAGAUCAUGGAGCAGGACCUCACGGAAUCCAUUGUGAAGCACCUAUAGCUGGAAACAGACAGCAUGGAUUCACCAACAGCAAGAUAUGUCUGAUCAAGAUGAUUUCAUUCUAUGUUGCUUAUAACUUACAAUGGAACAUUUCAGCCCAAAGUUUAUCUGCAUGACGCUGAAAUUUUGGGAAAGUUUCAGUAAACAAGGUCUCUAGGCUCAGUACAGAAUCAUGUUCAUGAAAUGAAUCAAGGUGAUGCAGAAUGAUCACUUUGUUGCAGGAAAUUGGAAGAAGACUGCAGAAAGAAGGGAUGUUCUGGAUGUAGGCUGUUGAAUGACAACCUGGAAAAUUCCUAUGCUACCCUGAACAAGCCCUACACCAAAAAUUAUUUCAGUCACUGUAACUGCAUUUCUUCAUUAUCUGAAUAUCCAAAGUGGGGGCAGAUUUGUCAACAAUCAAUUACUGGCAACUCAACCACACUACCAAUAGUUUCUGUAAAACUGAAAUAUCUCUUUACGUAUAAAACCAAACCAAACCAAACCAAACCAAACCUUAAUUUGAAAAGCUACUCCAUUAACUUAGUUUGGAGUAGCUUUAGGCACAAAAAAUUAUCAAAAUACAGAGUAGUGCAAGCAGGGGUUUAAAAGUUGCUUCCUCUACCUUUCCCUUGAUGGUUUUCUAAAAAAGUUUCACUGGACUGAAGUUAAACAGUGGCUUAAACUACUGCUACACAGAGACCAUUGCUUUAGAGUGGUGUCAAACUUACCAUGCCCACUUGGCCAGAUCUAGACUAAAGAGAUGGAUGCAGAUGUGGCAGUGGGCCUUUGCUUGCCCCCCUGCCACCAAAACAUGAGCUCCAUUGCCUAGAUAUAGCAGGCCUGCCCCCAAAUUCUCAGUCUCCCUACAGCCCUGUGGAAGGGACAAUCCACAGACUUGAUCUGGCCUGAUGGCCAUAAAUGUGAUACCCCUGAUGUAGUAGACCAAUGUCACCUCAGUGUAUCCUUACAGUCCCUUGUAUGUACGCAUCUGUUUGUUGUCUUAGAUUAUUAAGCCCCUGUACCAAAGAAAUGAAAGUCAUUUUUCUGAGUUUGUACAGCACCUAGUAAUGGGGUUCUGUUCCUUGACUAAGGUUCUAAAGUGCUAUGGAAAUACAAAUGAAAGAGGUUCUUGAACAUCAACGAGAGAUGUUCUCCUAUCCAUACCAUACAGUAUUUUAUCAGAAUACAGAUGAAUUUUGUAAAUUUUGUACAAAUAAAUUUUAUAAUCUGCCUAAAGAAGACUAAAUAUUUCCUACAGAUUUCCUUAUCUGAGGUAAGGGCAAACAUUCUUGUUACAGCUCAAGCUAACUUGCUAUACUCUUGUAGUUCCAUUUAACACAACAAAAUAAGACACCACACACACACACACACACACACACUCUUUUUAUAAUUAAAAUACAGCUCAUCUCUACUAGUUUCUUUUCCCUUUGUAUUUACUGCCACCAUGAGGAUCAGAGACAUAACACAGACUGAUUGUGUGAAUUCAAGCAAAGGUAAACUUGACACUGCUUAUAGCUUGACCUCUCUCAACAGGCCUUGAAGAGGUACAGGGAGGUAUGGAGACAGGGACAAAGCACAGGCAUUAGAGCAUGGGUUCUUCAAACCAGCAAACCUAUUCUUGUCAUCUGUCAAUCUACACCAUCCCCAUUUUUACACCUCAUUUAUAUGGUAAAGAUGAAAUUUGGAUGAUUUUAAGAAAAAGAACCUUUUCAAUACAUCAUCACAGUUUUCUACAUAGUCAUUUAGGCCACACCAUUCUAGUAGAACAGGACCUCUGG